UACGGAGGGUGCAAGCGUUCUCCGGAUUCACUGGGUUUAAAGGGUGCGUAGGAGGGUAGGUAAGUCAGUGGUGAAAUCUUCGAGCUUAACUCGGAAACUGCCGUUGAUACUAUCUAUCUUGAAUACCGUGGAGGUGAGCGGAAUAUGUCAUGUAGCGGUGAAAUGCUUAGAUAUGACAUAGAACACCAAUUGCGAAGGCAGCUCGCUACACGAAUAUUGACUCUGAGGCACGAAAGCGUGGGGAUCAAACAGG
rnacentral:rRNA from 1 species